AUGGUAAAAACAACGGGUCUGAUGCUCCCCUUUCUUUCGGUUGGGGAGAUCUCUCCCGGCAUUUACUCCGGGUUGCAGCUCUUGGUGCCGGAGGGGACCCCACGGGCCUGGUUGGGGUCCACCCUGUGGUGCCUGCUACCGCAGGCGGUUCUUGGCAUCUUGGUGAUCCCCUGUCUGCGCUCCCUCCCGUGCUUCUCUGAUCCUUACAGCCACAUCCAGCAUCUUUCUCUGGUCGUCUGGAAGCUCUCUUUAACUUCUAGUGAUGGAGCAGGGCUGAUGAAGAAAUUGACCUCGGGGACCAGGCUGGGGUCCCAGCACCUGCUUCAUGUCCCCCUUCUACAGCCUCCAUUCUGAAGUUACCUCCAAGAGGUCAAGUUCAGAAGUCAGUCUGGCGCAUCUGUAAGUCCACGGGCAUCCCUCGUCCGACCCCCUCUCCCUCCUGUACUGCCUGAGAUACCGUCUCAAACCCUGCUAUGCACUGAACUUUGUCCCUUCAAAAUUCACAGGCUGAAGACUUGACUGCCAGUACUUCAGAAUGGGACUGCAUUUGGCGAUAAGGUCUAUAAAGAAGUGGUUAAGUUACAACAAGGUCACUAGGGUGGCCUGAUCCAAUCUGACUGGUGUCCCUAAGAGACGAGAUCAGGGCACAGACAUGCACAGAGGGAUGACCAUGUGAGGACACGGGGAGAAGACUGCGUCUGCACGCCAUGGAAGAAACCAGCCCUGUUAACUCUGAUCUUGCCCGCGGAGCUGGGAGAAACCUUGUUCUGUUGUUCAAGCCACUGGCAGCCCGAGCAGAGGAAGACCCACACCCACCCAGUCAUUCUCGACCACACUUUCUUUUCCCUGAUAACACCGUCAAUACCUUGCAUCGCUGUUUUCUUGUUUGUUGCCAGCCUCCCUCCCCGCACUGAAGGUUCAGGAAGGGAGGAGACGUGGCCGCCUACAACAGCGUCUACCAGUGCUCGGCUCUCAAAAAGGUUUGCAGAUGCGUCAGUAACGCGAGUGGAGCCUGUUGCUUUGUGGCCAAUACCUAGUUUCCUUUAAAGCAAAUGAAAUCUGGGGCGCCUGGGUGGCUCAGUCGGUUAAGCGUCCGACUUCAGCUCAGGUCACGAUCUCACGUUCUGUGAGUUCAAGCCCCGCGUCGGGCUCUGGGCUGAUGGCUCAGAGCCUGGAGCCUGCUUCCUGUUCUGUGUCUCCCUCUCUCUCUGCCCCUCCCCCGUUCAUGCUCUGUCUCUGUCUCAAAAUAAAUAAACGUUAAAAAAAAAAUUUAAAGCA
rnacentral:lncRNA from 1 species